rnacentral:rRNA from 1 species
UACAGAGGGAGCAAGCGGUAAUCGGAAUUACUGGGCGUAAAGGGUGCGUAGGCGGUUCGAUAAGUCAGAUGUGAAAUACCCGGGCUUAACUCGGGACCUGCAUUUGAUACUGUCGGGCUCGAGUUCGGUAGAGGGUAGUGGAAUUCCCGGUGUAGCAGUGAAAUGCGUAGAUAUCGGGAGGAACAUCAGUGGCGAAGGCGCCUACCUGGACCGAAACUGAAGCUGAGGCACGCAAGCGUGCGGACCAAACAGG